rnacentral:rRNA from 1 species
UAACACAUGCAAGUCGAUCGGUAACGCGGGGGCAACCCUGGCGACGAGAGGCGGACGGGUGAGGAACGCUUGGGAAUCUGCCUAUCAGCGGGGGACAACCCGGGGAAACUCGGGCUAAUACCGCAUACGCUCUACGGAGGAAAGCCGGGGACCGCAAGGCCUGGCACUGAUAGAUGAGCCCAAGUCGGAUUAGCUAGUUGGCGGGGUAACGGCCCACCAAGGCGACGAUCCGUAGCUGGUCUGAGAGGACGAUCAACCACACUGGAACUGAGACACGGUCCAGACUCCUACGGGAGGCAGCAGUGGGGAAUAUUGGACAAUGGGGGCAACCCUGAUCCAGCGACGCCGCGUGGGUGAAGAAGGCCUGCGGGUUGUAAAGCCCUUUCGGUAGGGACGAAAGCUCUCGACCUAACACGUCGGGAGGUUGACUUAACCUACAAAAGAAGCACCGGCUAACUCUGUGCCAGCAGCCGCGGUAAUACAGAGGGUGCGAGCGUUAAUCGGAAUUACUGGGCGUAAAGCGCACGUAGGCGGCUUGGUAUGUCGGGUGUGAAAUCCCCGGGCUCAACCUGGGAACUGCAUCCGA